GGGGUGUUGUAAACUGGCUUGAUGCUAUGGAAUUUGGAGAUAAGCACCAGCACCAAUGGGCCUCAGGGCCUAUAGAGGACUCACUUU